rnacentral:tRNA from 1 species
GAGAGCGAGGGGGCGGAUGUAGCCAAGUGGAUCAAGGCAGUGGAUUGGGAAU